UUGGAGGGCAAGUCUGGUGCCAGCAGCCGCGGUAAUUCCAGCUCCAAUAGCGUAUAUUAAAGUUGUUGCAGUUAAAAAGCUCGUAGUUGAAUUUCGGGGUUCUACCGUUGGUCGGGCUAUUGUCUGUACUGGCGUGUAGAAUUUCUACCUUCUGGGGAACUAUCAUGUUAUUAAUUUAGCGUGGUAGGAAACCAGGACCUUUACCUUGAAAAAAUUAGAGUGUUCAAAGCAGGCUUAUGUCUGAAUACAUUAGCAUGGAAUAAUGAAAUAGGAUGAUCGAUCCUAUUUUGUUGGUUUCUAGGAUUGACGUAAUGAUUAAUAGGGAUAGUUGGGGGCAUUAGUAUUCAAUUGUCAGAGGUGAAAUUCUUGGAUUUAUUGAAGACUAACUACUGCGAAAGCAUUUGCCAAGGAUGUUUUCAUUAAUCAAGAACGAAAGUUAGGGGAUCGAAGACGAUCAGAUACCGUCGUAGUCUUAACCAUAAACUAUGCCGACUAGGGAUCGGAUGAUGUUAAUUUUUUAAUGACUCAUUCGGCGCCUUACGGGAAA
rnacentral:rRNA from 1 species